UACGAAGGGGGCUAGCGUUGCUCGGAUUCACUGGGCGUAAAGGGUGCGCAGGCGGCCAAGUGUGUUAGGCGUGAAAGCCUGGGGCUUAACCCCAGAAUUGCACCUAAAACUACAUGGCUAGAGCAUUGGAGAGGGUAGCGGGAUUCACGGUGUAGCAGUGAAAUGCGUAGAUAUCGUGAGGAACACCAGAGGCGAAGGCGGCUACCUGGACAAUUGCUGACGCUCAGGCACGAAAGCGUGGGGAGCAAAAGGG
rnacentral:rRNA from 1 species